rnacentral:rRNA from 1 species
GUGGGGAAUAUUGGGCAAUGGGGGCAACCCUGACCCAGCGACGCCGCGUGGGUGAAGAAAUCCCUCGGGAUGUAAAGCCCUGUUGUAUGGGAAGAGCAGAAGACGGUACCAUACGAGGAAGCCCCGGCAAACUACGUGCCAGCAGCCGCGGUAAUACGUAGGGGGCAAGCGUUGUCCGGAAUUACUGGGCGUAAAGCGCACGCAGGCUGAAUUAUAAGUCGGUAGUCAAAUACGGAGGCUCAACUUCCGGAUAUCUAUCGAUACUGUAAAUCUAGAGUAUGUGAGAGGUAAGCGGAAUUCCCGGUGUAGCGGUGAAAUGCGUAGAUAUCGUGAGGAACACCAGUGGCGAAGGCGGCUUCCUGGCACAAUACUGACGCUCAUGUGCGAAAGCUAGGGCAGCGAACGGGAUUAGAUACCCCUGUAGUCC